UACGUAGGGUGCUAGCGUUGUUCGGAAUCAUUGGGCGUAAAGCGCGUGUAGGCUGUUAGUUAAGUCGGAUGUGAAAUCCCUGGGCUCAACCGAGGAAGUGCAUUCGAAACUAACUAGCUAGAGAAUGGUAGAGGAAGGUGGAAUUCCUAGUGUAGAGGUGAAAUUCGUAGAUAUUAGGAGGAAUACCGGCGGCGAAGGCGGCCUUCUGGACCAUUUCUGACGCUGAGACGCGAAAGCGUGGGGAGCAAACAGG
rnacentral:rRNA from 1 species